UACGUAGGGGGCUAGCGUUGUCCGGAAUCAUUGGGCGUAAAGAGCGUGUAGGCGGCCCGGUAAGUCCGCUGUGAAAGUCGGGGGCUCAACCCUCGGAUGCCGGUGGAUACUGUCGGGCUCGAGUACGGAAGAGGCGAGUGGAAUUCCUGGUGUAGCGGUGAAAUGCGCAGAUAUCAGGAGGAACACCUAUUGCGAAGGCAGCUCGCUGGGACGUUACUGACACUGAGGCGCGAAAGCGUGGGGAGCGAACAGG
rnacentral:rRNA from 1 species